AUUGAACGCUGGCGGUAUGCUUAACACAUGCAAGUCGAACGGAAACGAUACUAGCUUGCUAGUAGGCGUCGAGUGGCGGACGGGUGAGUAACGCGUAGGAAUCUGCCUGAUAGUGGGGGAUAGCCCGGAGAAAUUCGGAUUAAUACCGCAUAAUCUAUUCGUAGUAAAGUGGGGGACUUUCGAGCCUCACGCUAUCAGAUGAGCCUGCGUAAGAUUAGCUAGUUGGUAGGGUAAAAGCCUACCAAGGCGACGAUCUUUAGCUGGUCUGAGAGGAUGAUCAGCCACAUCGGGACUGAGACACGGCCCGAACUCCUACGGGAGGCAGCAGUGGGGAAUAUUGGACAAUGGGGGCAACCCUGAUCCAGCAAUACCGCGUGUGUGAAGAAGGCCUGAGGGUUGUAAAGCACUUUCAAUUGUGAAGAAAAGUUAGCGGUUAAUAACCGUUAGCCUUGACGUUAACUUUAGAAGAAGCACCGGCUAACUCCGUGCCAGCAGCCGCGGUAAUACGGAGGGUGCAAGCGUUAAUCGGAAUUACUGGGCGUAAAGCGUGCGUAGGCGGUUUAUUAAGUCAGAUGUGAAAGCCCCGGGCUUAACCUGGGAACUGCAUUUGAAACUGGUAAACUAGAGUAUGGUAGAGGAAAGUGGAAUUUCUGGUGUAGCGGUGAAAUGCGUAGAUAUCAGAAGGAACAUCAAUGGCGAAGGCAGCUUUCUGGACUCAAUACUGACGCUGA
rnacentral:rRNA from 1 species